AUUGAACGCUGGCGGCAGGCCUAACACAUGCAAGUCGAGCGAGCGGCGGACGGGUGAGUAAUGUAUGGGGACUGCACGAUAGAGGGGGAUAACUACUGGAAACGGUGGCUAAUACCGCAUACAGUCGGAUAACAAAUAUGGGAUUAGCUAGUAGGUAAGGUAAUGGCUUACCUAGGCGACGAUCCCUAGCUGGUCGGAGAGGAUGUUCAGCCACACUGGGACUCAUCCACGGCCCAGACGCCUACGGAGGCAGCAGUGGGGAAUAUUGCACAAUGGGCGCAAGCCUGAUGCACCCAUGCCGCUUGUAUGAAGAAGUCCCUAGGGUUGUAAAGUACUUUCAGUCGGGAGGCGUUACCGACAGAAGAAGCACCGGCUAACUCCGUGCCAGCAGCCGCGGUAAUUC
rnacentral:rRNA from 1 species